rnacentral:rRNA from 1 species
AUUGAACGCUGGCGGAAUGCUUUACACAUGCAAGUCGAACGGCAGCACGGACUUCGGUCUGGUGGCGAGUGGCGAACGGGUGAGUAACAUAUCGGAACGUAUCCAAUAAUGGGGGAUAACGAGUCGAAAGAUUCGCUAAUACCGCAUACGCCCUACGGGGGAAAGCUGGGGACCUUCGGGCCUGGCGUUAAUGGAGCGGCCGAUAUCUGAUUAGCUAGUUGGGGAGGUAAAGGCUCACCAAGGAGACGAUCAGUAGCUGGUCUGAGAGGACGACCAGCCACACUGGAACUGAGACACGGUCCAGACUCCUACGGGAGGCAGCAGUGGGGAAUUUUGGACAAUGGGCGCAAGCCUGAUCCAGCCAUUCCGCGUGAGUGAAGAAGGCCUUCGGGCUGUAAAGCUCUUUCGCAAGGGAAGAAAACUUAGCCACUAACAUUGGUUGAGGUUGACGGUACCUUGAUAAGAAGCACCGGCUAACUACGUGCCAGCCGCCGCGGUAA